GGAGAGAUGGCUGAGUGGUUGAAAGCACCGCACUCGAAAUGCGGCAUAGGGGCAACUCUAUCGGGGUUCAAAUCCCUCUCUCUCCGCCA
rnacentral:tRNA from 1 species